CAUGUAGGCGGUCUGCUAAGUUCGGAGUGACAGUCACCAGCUUAACUGGUGAGGGACUUUGAAAACUGGCGGACUUGAGAGCGAAAGAGGGACAUGGAAUUCCGGGUGGAGCAGUGAAAUGCGUAGAGAUCCGGAGGAACACCAAAGGCGAAGGCAGUGUCCUGGCUCGUUUCUGACGCUGAGGUGCGAAAGCCAGGGGAGCGAACGGGAUUAGAUACCCCGGUAGUCCUGGCCGUAAACGAUGACCACUAGGCGUGGGAGGGAUCGACCCCUUCCGUGCCGUAGUCAACACAUUAAGUGGUCCGCCUGGGGAGUACGGUCGCAAGACUAAA
rnacentral:rRNA from 1 species